GAAUCCGGCACCGGCUGGAGAUGUGGCAGAGUCAUCCCGCUCAAAACUCCGCAGUCAAGCGCGCUUGGGAUAGAGUAGUACUGGGAUGGGUGACCUCCCGGGAAGUCCUAGUGUUGCACCCU
rnacentral:rRNA from 1 species